rnacentral:rRNA from 1 species
UAUGUGAUCGUCUCUCGCAUAUCAAUAAGCGGAGGAAAAGAAACUAACAAGGAUUCCCCUAGUAACGGCGAGUGAAGCGGGAAGAGCUCAAAUUUGAAAUCUUAAAGGGUUUCCCUUUACGAAUUGUAGUUUAAAGAAGUGUUUUCUGUUGAGGUUUUGGUAAAAGUUCUUUGGAAUAGGACAUCAUAGAGGGUGAGAAUCCCGUAUUUGACCUUUACUUUCAACUUUGUGAUACACUUUCAAAGAGUCGGAUUGUUUGGGAAUGCAGGUCCAAAAUGGGUGGUAAAUUUCAUCUAAAGCUAAAUAUUGGCGAGAGACCGAUAGCGAACAAGUACCGUGAGGGAAAGAUGAAAAGAACUUUGAAAAGAGAGUUAAACAGUACGUGAAAUUGUCAAAAGGGAAGCGUUUGACACCAGUGUUGUUUUUCUGAAAAUCAAUUAAAGAACUGUUUAUGCUAAGCUGUUUAGACUUUAUCAGCUAACUGUUUAGUUUUUGAGCUUUUCUCUAAUGCACUUUUCUAGUUAACAAGUCAACAUCAAUUUCUUUUGCUGUAAAAAAGCUUGAGGAAGGUGGCUUGAGAUUCGUCUUAAGUGUUUAUAGCCUCUUGCCUAUGCAGUCGGAGAGAUUGAGGUCUGCAGCGUAGAUCCUUCGGGGCUAAAUGCAUUUGUGCUAAGUUAUAGCAUUUUAUAGACAACUUGUUGACUAUGAUUUGUCUUGUAGCUUACUCGCUUAUGUUAUUUUACCUACGCUUAGGAUGUUGAGUAGCGACAUACGCAC